rnacentral:lncRNA from 1 species
GGAGCUCCCACAGCUUUCCUUGAAAUAACAGCAUCACCAACAGCUGGAAAAGGAGAAGCAGGAAAACUGCUCCUAGGGCCGGAUGUGGAGAAGGAAUCUUACAGUUCAUAAACAAGAUCAUAAAAGAACAACUUGCUUUGUUACCACUUCUACUGAGGCUGUGAAACACGAGUUACUGAAAAUACUACACUGCAGCUUGUGUCCAUGAGGCUCAGGAGAAUGAGAUGCUGUGCUGCAAACAACUCAGAAGCAGGAAAGGAGAAGAAGGAGGGGAGAAAAUGAGCUGCCUCAGUAAUAUACCUCCUCUGACAAAGCUGAAAGUGCCUGGCUAUUUCUCAGCAAAUGAAAAAAAGUCUAAAGGAAUGAGGACUUGUGUGGCCUCCCCCAACCAAAAAAAUAAAAAAAGAGGAAAUGAG